AUUGUGGACCCGAGAAGCAGAGAGCGAGAGGGGGAAGAGGAGCGUGCAAGCGGAAAAGACGGGCCUCUUCCUCCGACUCCCGAGCGCGAGGCCCUCAUUUUGGGUUCUCAGCGAACGGCGGCAGCGGCGGCGGCUGGAACAAUCACUCGGCCAAGGGCGACAGCCAACUGCUGUGAGUGCACGGGGAGAGGCCCAGGCAGCGGCGGCGGCGGCGGCUCUCGGGUUGCGGUGAAGAAUGUCAGCCACUAGCGUGGAUCAGAGACCUAAAGGGCAAGGAAAUAAAGUUUCAGUACAAAACGGUUCGAUUCAUCAAAAAGAUGCUGUAAAUGAUGAUGAUUUUGAGCCAUACUUAAGUAGCCAGACAAAUCAGGUAAGUCUUCUGACAGUUUCAGAUCCAUACAUGCCUAGUUACUAUGCUCCAUCCAUUGGAUUUCCAUAUUCUCUUGGGGAAGCAGCGUGGUCCACAGCUGGAGACCAGCCUAUGCCAUAUCUGACAACCUAUGGACAAAUGAGUAAUGGAGAACAUCACUAUAUACCAGAUGGUGUAUUUAGUCAACCUGGGGCAUUAGGAAAUACCCCUCCAUUUCUUGGUCAACAUGGAUUUAACUUUUUUCCUGGUAAUGCUGAUUUCUCUACAUGGGGGACAAGUGGAUCUCAGGGACAAUCAACACAAAGUUCUGCUUAUAGUAGCAGUUAUGGCUAUCCACCUAGUUCUCUUGGGAGAGCUAUUACUGAUGGACAGGCUGGAUUUGGCAAUGAUACUUUGAGUAAGGUGCCUGGCAUUAGCAGUAUUGAGCAAGGCAUGACUGGACUGAAAAUUGGUGGUGACCUGACAGCUGCAGUGACAAAAACUGUAGGUACAGCUUUGAGCAGCAGUGGUAUGACUAGCAUUGCAACCAAUAGUGUGCCCCCAGUUAGCAGUGCAGCACCUAAACCAACCUCCUGGGCUGCCAUUGCCAGAAAGCCUGCCAAACCUCAACCGAAACUUAAACCCAAGGGCAAUGUGGGAAUUGGGGGUUCUGCUGUACCACCACCUCCUAUAAAACACAACAUGAAUAUUGGAACUUGGGAUGAAAAAGGGUCAGUGGUAAAGGCUCCACCAACCCAACCAGUUCUGCCUCCUCAAACUAUAAUCCAGCAGCCUCAGCCAUUAAUUCAACCACCACCAUUGGUGCAAAGCCAACUGCCUCAACAGCAGCCUCAACCACCACAACCACAGCAGCAACAAGGACCUCAGCCACAGGCCCAGCCUCACCAAGUGCAGCCUCAACAGCAGCAGCUGCAGAAUCGCUGGGUAGCUCCUCGUAACAGGGGAGCAGGCUUCAACCAGAACAAUGGAGCGGGCAGUGAAAACUUUGGUUUAGGUGUUGUACCUGUCAGUGCUUCACCUUCUAGUGUAGAAGUGCAUCCCGUGCUGGAAAAGCUAAAGGCCAUAAACAACUAUAAUCCCAAAGACUUUGAUUGGAAUCUGAAGAAUGGACGUGUGUUUAUAAUUAAAAGCUACUCUGAGGAUGACAUACAUCGUUCCAUUAAAUACUCUAUCUGGUGUAGUACUGAGCAUGGUAAUAAGCGUUUGGAUGCAGCUUACCGUUCCCUGAAUGGGAAAGGCCCACUCUAUUUACUCUUCAGUGUGAAUGGCAGUGGACAUUUUUGUGGAGUGGCUGAAAUGAAGUCUGUUGUGGACUAUAAUGCGUAUGCUGGUGUCUGGUCUCAGGAUAAGUGGAAGGGCAAAUUUGAAGUUAAAUGGAUCUUUGUCAAAGAUGUUCCCAAUAACCAAUUACGGCAUAUUCGCUUAGAAAAUAAUGAAAAGCGUCAAGAAGAGGAGGAAGCCAUGCGUAGGGAGAGAAAUAGAAACAAACAAUAACCGUAUGAAGAUGUCCUGUUAAAUUUACAACACUAACGAUGUAGACUCUGGAAAUGCCUAAUAAGUCAAAGAAGACGUAUUAAAGCUCUUUUCUGCUUAAGGUGACAUCUUUGAACACUUUAACACAAAGUUGACUCUUCUCGUAAUGGUUUUCAUCAGCGCAUCUGCCCUUAUACUCUUCACCAAACACACUUGAGAACUGUAACUUCGUCAAGCACUUUCUGUCCUGAAGCUUUUACCAGUAUCUGCUGUCUUUUGUAAUUAUGCAUCCUAGCUAAGGCACAGAAGACUGAAUGAAUGCAAGGAUUCAUUAACUCUUUGAAUUUGUUAAAUACUAACAGUUAACCAUUAGAAGUGGUUCAAUGAUGUAAGAGUCACACUGCUUCAACUUUUUCUUUGUUGUAGUUUUUAAAUUGUCGAUUUUUAGCUAUUUGACAGAUUAAAAGCAAAAUAAUCAUGCCAUAUUUAGUCCUGGAGUUCAAGUCUAAAUGUUGAUGUGAAAAAUUAUUGUAGUAAACUUUUAAUAUGGCAAAGCAACCUUAAGCUCUAUUUUAGCCAAAUGAAACAUAAUCUGAAAUUAUAUUAGAACAUUUCCCUUGUCUUCAAACUGUUUGGUGUAACAGAAUAUUGAUAUGCAGCUUGGUGGAUUUCACCAGUUAAUGCACAUUCUUCUUCCCUCCUCCCCCCAUUAAUAUGUAUACUGAAAAAUGUGCAUUUGUCUGAGGAAUUAUUUUGUUUGCUACCACUUAAUGAAUCUCAAAAUUUUGAGUAAAUGUACCUCAGUCUAAUCAGACUUUUUAUGACCUUUAUAACUACAUUUAAAACCCUUAAUUCCUAUUUCUGGGUGUUUGCGAGCCUGAUUGCUAUCAUGAAGUAAAAAUUUAUUACUCUAGGUAUUCACUAGCUAAAUAAACAUAGUUCUUGUUUAGCAAGCAUAUGUUGUUCCUCAGCUCUUUUCUCCAGCUUUUGCAGUGUCCUGGCAUCCUUAAAAUACUUUGAAAAUAUGGCCUUGAUCCAUGGAUUAAAUCAGUAUCUAAGUG
rnacentral:lncRNA from 1 species